rnacentral:rRNA from 1 species
AGUGAACGCUGGCGGUAGGCCUAACACAUGCAAGUCGAACGGCAGCACAGUAAGAGCUUGCUCUUACGGGUGGCGAGUGGCGGACGGGUGAGGAAUAUAUCGGAAUCUACUUUUUCGUGGGGGAUAACGUAGGGAAACUUACGCUAAUACCGCAUACGACCUACGGGUGAAAGCAGGGGAUCUUCUGACCUUGCGCGAUUGAAUGAGCCGAUGUCGGAUUAGCUAGUUGGCGGGGUAAAGGCCCACCAAGGCGACGAUCCGUAGCUGGUCUGAGAGGAUGAUCAGCCACACUGGAACUGAGACACGGUCCAGACUCCUACGGGAGGCAGCAGUGGGGAAUAUUGGGCAAUGGGCGCAAGCCUGAUCCAGCCAUACCGCGUGGGUGAAGAAGGCCUUCGGGUUGUGAAGCCCGUUUGUUGGGAAAGAAAAGCAGCAGGUUAAUACCCCGCUGUUCUGACGGUACCCAGAGAAUAAGCACCGGCUAACUUCGUG